UAAACAUUGCAAAAAGAAAAAAAUUGCUUGCGCCGGAGAAGCUUCCGUGUUUUAUAGCACAGUGAUGGUCAAUGAAAUGGAGCCUGAUAUUUUCAGAAGGUGAAGAUGAAACAAAUAGUAUAACCAGAAGGGCAUAUUGUUGCACCAUCGAAAGUGGGUCAUUGGCAUAUUUUUUUUUCAACAUUGAAACAAUUCAUAUAAAAUGAAUGCAACCAAAUGAUUCCUUUAUCAAACAAUCACUGUAUGUGCUUCAACAACAUGAGGUGUUCAAGUUUCUUACUCAUUCUUCUGUGUUCCUUAUUAUUUUUCGUAUACGUGGAAGGAUUUAGAUUGAGUUCAUUGAAAUUACUACCGCUUGAGGACAUUGAGGA